CAGCUGCCAGCCGUCUGUCCAUUCACCCAUCUGUCCAUCUGGCAGCCCGCUGUUCAGACCCGUCUGUCUGUCCGCCCAUCUGUAAGCCCAUCUCUGUCCCAUUGUCUAUCUGACCAUCUUUCUCUUACUGUCCUCUUUGUCUAGCUAUCUGGCCUAUCUGUCGAUCCAUCUUCGUGUCUGUCUUCAGCCCCCACCUGUUUGUCCAUCUGUCCAAUUACCUGUGAGUCUAUCUAUGCACCUUCUUGUCCAUUCAUCUGCCCACCCAUCUGUCCCUCCGUCUGCCCACCGGCCUCCCCUCUCCUUCUGGGCCGCAGAGCCAUGGCCCAGGACUGCAGAGCCAUGGUUGGCCUGGUCCUGCUGGGGCUGGGGCUUGUGCUGGCUGUCAUUGUGCUGGCUGUGGUCCUCUCUCGACACCAGGCCCCAUUUGACCCCCGGCCUUUGCCCACGCCGCUGUUGCUGCUGACUCCAAGGUCUGCUCGGAUAUUGGACGCUGGACCCGCAGGCCCUGCAGGACAGAGACUGGCAGCGCGCCGUCAUCGCCAUGAAUGGGAUCGAAGUAAAGCUCUCGGUCAAGUUCAACAGCAGGGAGUUCAGCUUGAAGAGGAUGCCGUCCCGAAAACAGACAGGGGUCUUCGGAGUCAAGAUUGCUGUGGUCACCAAGAGAGAGAGGUCCAAGGUGCCCUACAUCAUGCGCCAGUGCGUGGAGGAGAUCGAGCGCCGAGGCAUGGAGGAGAUAACAAGGACGUGUCGGUGAUGAUGAGCGAGAUGGACGUGAACGCCAUCGCAGGCACGCUGAAGCUGUACUUCCGUGAGCUGCCCGAGCCCCUCUUCACUGACGAGUUCUACCCCAACUUCGCAGAGGGCAUCGGGUGGCAGAGAAGGAGGCGGUCAAUAAGGUGUCCCUGCACAACCUCGCCACUGUCUUUGGCCCCACGCUGCUCCGGCCCUCCGAGAAGGAGAGCAAGCUCCCUGCCAACCCCAGCCAGCCUGUCACCAUGACUGACAGCAGGUCCUUGGAGGU
ensembl:lncRNA novel transcript